rnacentral:rRNA from 1 species
AGCGAACGCUGGCGGCAGGCCUAACACAUGCAAGUCGAACGGACCCUUCGGGGUUAGUGGCGGACGGGUGAGUAACACGUGGGAACGUGCCUUUAGGUUCGGAAUAGCUCCUGGAAACGGGUGGUAAUGCCGAAUGUGCCCUUCGGGGGAGAGAUUUAUCGCCUUUAGAGCGGCCCGCGUCUGAUUAGCUUGUUGGUGGGGUAAUGGCCCACCAAGGCUACGAUCGGUAGCUGGUCUGAGAGGAUGACCAGCCACAUUGGGACUGAGACACGGCCCAAACUCCUACGGGAGGCAGCAGUGGGGAAUCUUGCGCAAUGGGCGAAAGCCUGACGCAGCCAUGCCGCGUGUAUGAUGAAGGUCUUAGGAUUGUAAAAUACUUUCACCGGUGAAGAUAAUGACUGUAGCCGGAGAAGAAGCCCCGGCUAACUUCGUGCCAGCAGCCGCGGUAAUACGAAGGGGGCUAGCGUUGCUCGGAAUUACUGGGCGUAAAGGGAGCGUAGGCGGACAUUU